GGUGGGGGGAAGGCCAAAUCUGCCACCCAGGCUGCGGGUCAAGUGCAGGGACAGGAGGCUUUCCCUGGCCGAGGCGGGUGCGCGGGGGAGUGACGGCGAUGGGCAGAGAGGGAACGCCGUGUGGGAGCUGUCAAUCGAUAGCAUCUUAGAAUAACAGUUCUCAUCAGGCACUGGGUCUGACUUUAAGCUGACAAAUGAUUUUCCUUCACAAUAAAAGUACAAACAGAAUCCUAAUUAAUGAAUUUGCCAAUAGCUGUUGCCUAUUUUAUGGGCCUUAGCCCAGAUUCAGUCUGUGGACAGGAUGAGUGAGUGUGUGUGUGUGGAUGGGGCCAUUAAUCACCCGGGGCCCAGGACAAGGGCAGUCUCCUUGGGAUCCUCCUAGGCAGCCUGUCCCCAGGGGGCCCAGGCUUGCCGCGACAGCCACGAGAGCCCGGAGUGCCACCGCAGCUGUGACAGCUAUGGGCCCCACGGGGCACGCAGCCGCCUGGACAGCCCUGGGACAGCAUGACUGAGCCAGCCCCCCGCCGCUGCUGUGCGCGGCGGAGAGGACUAGCAUUUGUCUCGAGAGGUCAUUGGCCGUCUCCUGCAGCCCUGAGUAGCUGUUUUGCCCUUUUCUGUUUCCACCCAGGGAGAGGCCAUGGUCCCUUCAGGAAUCUCUGGUUUUGAAGACACACCUGGAACUGGGUAUCAGGGUUGGGGAUGCGAGUGUGCCUGUGUCACUCAUUGCACAGCCAGGAGGCUGACUGUGGGUGUGGGCAGGGCAGGCCAAAGACAGGUGAGGCCAUCACGUGUCACUGUCAGUGGCGGAAGGGAGAAGGAAUGCUGCGACACCCCUUCGUGUUCCAUGGAAGGCAGCGGGAGGCGGUGGCAUGGUGGGGACCGCUGUCACAAGGUCAAAGUCAGUGACAAAGCCAGACCCUAAGUCAGCACGGAAAGACCCUUUACCUCAUCUACUAGGAGGCGGGCACUCAGACGGCGAAGGUUCCAGGAGAGGGAAAAGUUAGACACAGAAAUCCAGUCGCCACGUGGGCCGUGGUAAGGCUUUUGUUUUUUAUUCUAACACAACUGGAAGCCAUUGACUCUUGCCUUCUUUCUUCUCUCCAUUUUGUACUUUUUCUAUUUUUAAUUAUCCAAUGGACCAGAGUACAUUAGCACUACAAAUUACUCAAGCUACGUGAAUAAAGCCACAGUCUGCUAUAUUAUUCCCA
rnacentral:lncRNA from 1 species